UUUAUGCUCACUUUGGCAGAAAAUAUAUUAAAAUUGAAACAAUACAGAGAAGAUUAGCAUGGCCCCUGUGCAAGGAUGACAUACAAAUUCGUGAAGCAUUUCAUAUUUAA
ensembl:snRNA U6 U6 spliceosomal RNA